rfam:'Nostoc azollae' 0708, complete genome.
GAGAGUAGGCGCAGGCAGUUGCAGAUCAGUUAUUAAGACUGGUUUGAGGAAAGUCCGGGCUCCCGAAAGACCAGACUUGCUGGAUAACGUCCAGUGCGAGUGAUCGUGAGGAUAGUGCCACAGAAAGAUACCGCCAAAACAAUUCAAAAUUAAAAAUUAAAAAUUUUGAAUUGAAUGGUAAGGGUGCAAAGGUGCGGUAAGAGCGCACCAGCAGUAUCGAGAGGUGCUGGCUCGGUAAACCCCGGUUGGGAGCAAGGACAGAGGAACUAUGGUUGGUCUUUUACCAGUUCUGUUAAACAAGAGCCGCUAGAGGCGUUUGGUGACAAGCGUCCCAGAUAGAUAACUGCCCUCGCAAGAGAACAGAACCCGGCUUAUGUCCUGCUCUCUCUU